ACGAAGUGUAUCGGCACCUGUCCUGAAACUUCAGGUUUAUUAGGCUUUCCCCAAGCCACCUCAAUCUGGGAAGGGCUCUUACAGAGUGCUUGGGAAGACAACAUAAAAGAUGGACUAAAUAAGUGUUUGGAUUUAUAAUAUUUUUCCUUUUUCUAAAUAACUGCUUAUUUAGAAAAUGAAAAUGCUUGAUUUCAAGAAAAUAAAUGAAAUUUCACAUUUCUAAGUAGCAUAGAAGAAAGUCAGUCUUUUACUGCAGCCCCGCAGUGUGGCACCAUCACUCCACGUGACUAGCAGUGCGCCUGUGUGCUUGCUGCCUACACUACAGUUUUCUAAGCUGAGAAAUGAAAGUCCCUAAAAGGACUGAUUUUUAUAAGUGCAGUUUAAAAUCCUGACCCUGGGUGCGUCACUGUGUAAUUUUAUGUGUCUCACACCUCAGUCCCUUGGUCACACUAAGGUACCCAAGAUGUUGGCCAGGAUUACUAGAGAUUCCUAUCUAUUUGGGUUUUCAGAAUUCCUAUAAGCUUUGUGAGGACAUUUCUCCAUUUUUGGUUAAUAUCUAACUUGGAGGCAUUCACUUUUGUAAACCGCGAAAGUGCCUUAUAUCCUUCCUAUUUACUUCAUUAACGUGGUAAGUCAGUGCCAAGUGCCAUACUGUGUGUGCACGUGCGCAUGUGUGGGUAGUACCACAUUGUUACUGUGUAUACUAUAUGUGUGUGUGCAUGUGUGUAUGUGUGUGUGUGAAGUACCAUAUUAUAUUACUGUGUAUGUGUAUGUAUGUGUGUGCGUGCGUGUGUGUGCUCGCGUGUGUGUGCUCGCGUGUGUGUCUUAGCUAGUGAAGUGUGUCUUACAACUCAGAAAGUUAGAAAAUAGAAAUAUAAGUGGAGAACUGGCAGCCUGGCCAUGGAAACAGGCAGCACUUCGGGAGACCCUUUGUCUGUCCUCCCGAGCGUUCUCUCAGGUUGAUCUUGGUUUUCCUCGUCAACACUGUGAUGGAUGUAUGAGAGGGGGUGCAUGUUGAUAGGGAACCCUUUUCCUGCCACUUGUUUCUCUUCACUUCAGCCCUUACUGGUACAUUUAUUAAGCUAUCUAAUCCAUUAAUUUAAAAGGAUACAUAUUGUGGGCUUCAGUUGGAGAGGCAGCAUAUCCCAGGUAAAUAGAUGAGGCAGUUACUCAACCCUUGGGCUGGGCAUAUUGAAACACUCAGAAAUCAUUUACAGAAAAACCAAGCCCUCGUGGUCCUCCAUAGCAGCUGAUUCCAGAAGAAGCACUGCAGAGCACGUCUCUGUUCUAAGACGUCAGUGACACAAGCGUCAUAGUAAGGUUGUGUUACUUUAUGAAUAAGAUGAGAGUCUUCUCCUUUUAGCUGUGGUGAGAGAAGUGUGCAUGUUCUGUUUCAUCAGCUGUGAGACCUGUGCACAUACACUAAGCUGUGAAAAAAUAAAGUUACAAAAUAACUAUCAUGAUAGAAGCAAUCCUUACUCCAUUUGGGUCUGUAUUGUAUAUCCCAGAAUAAUAGUGAAAAUUUGUUGAAAUAUGUCAGUUAAUCUGUUUGUAAAAUAUUUGAUAUUUAUGUCAAUAGGAAUUUUUUGUUAAAUACUGAUAUAUAAGAAUUUUUGUGUCUUUCUGAGAAAAUAAAAAUGUAUAUUAGUAUUAAAAUAUUUUAAUGUUU
rnacentral:lncRNA from 1 species